GACUGGAAGAGGAUCGGCGGUGACUCCAGAUGGUCUGACUUCAUCAUCGGACACCUCGUUCAGGAAGCCGAGAUCCAAUUCGGAAAACCUCCCAGCCACCUUCUCUUGGCAGAGCUCAAACCCCUUGAUGAAGGCGUCCUGGCCGAACUGGACCUUUAAAUCUUCCAUCUCGGAGGAGGCUUUGAACUCCUCCACUGCUCGAGCCCUUGCCUCCGAGACCAGAGAUGGAAUCCAUGCCUUCAGCUCAAAAAUUUGCUCCUUCAGCUCGAAAACCUGCACCCUCAACGUGGAGACCUCGGCCUCAGCCUUCCCUCUCUCCUCCUCCAAGGCGGUCC
rnacentral:lncRNA from 1 species